rnacentral:snoRNA from 1 species
CAUUUAUGAUGGUCAUGUACCAAACUUGAAUUUCUGUGGAAAGAGCCCUAGAGGAAUCUGGCUUCUAAGGGAU